AGUAGAAUGACUGAGAUUAAUAGGUGAAAGAUUGUAAAUCUUUUAAGGAGGAUUCCUCUUCUACUA
rnacentral:tRNA from 1 species